rnacentral:rRNA from 1 species
GAUGAACGCUAGCUACAGGCUUAACACAUGCAAGUCGAGGGGAAACGACAUCGAAAGCUUGCUUUUGAUGGGCGUCGACCGGCGCACGGGGGAGUAACGCGUAUCCAACCUGCCCAUCACUUGGGAAUAACCUUGCGAAAGUAAGACUAAUACCCAAUGAUAUCCCACGAAGGCAUCGGAAUGGGAUCAAAGAUUUAUCGGUGAUGGAUGGGGCUGCGUCUGAUUAGCUGGGUGGCGGGGUAACGGCCCACCGAGGCAACGAUCAGUAGGGGUGCUGAGAGUCAGGUCCCCCGCAUUGGAACUGCGGCACGGUCCACACUCCUACGGGGCGCAGCAGUGUGUUAUACUAGUCACUGAGCGCGGGCCUGAACCAGCCAAGUAGCGUGCAAGAAGCCGGCGCUUGGGGUUGUAAACUGCUUGUAUAAGGGAAUAAAGUGGGUAACGUGUGACUUUUUGCCUGUACCUAAUGAAUAAGCACCGGCUAACUUCGUG